UUCUGCAAGGCCUGUAUCGAUGGGAGCGAUUUAGUAUCCGAGCACCGGUUUACCAACCUCAUGUUUUACCCACUUUGUGAGACCAAUCGGGCCUUCUAAUUAUACCCGGGUCCAGCGGUCCAAAGCGCGUGCGAACGUCACUCGUACAUCCCUCGCGUGCGGCUUAGCCCUCCCCCGUUCCCCCGGCGCGGCUCGGCCACCCAUUCUAAAUCGUUGCAGAUAUCCGGUGGAGGCUCUUCAGGAAGGUGGAAGAGGAAAAAGGAGAAGAUGCUGACGGCGAUGGACUCUGCCCUAGCGAUCGGUUUGCGGCCCCGCGGCGGCGCGUGUCCCUCGCCUCUCCCGCCGCGGUCUCUGCUGUCGCUCGUGGUGGGGGCCUGUCGCCGGUGUUCUUGGCGGGGCAAGCGGAGGCUCUUCGGUCGAGGGUUUCGGGAUCUUGAGCGCUCCCGGACCAACAUGGAUGGCUGCUUUGGAUCGUGCCCGAGUCAUCCUCUUUCUGCUAGGGUUCGUGCCGCGCAAGGGGAUGCGGAUUCGCCGACGAGCAACUCCAGACGGCGGUACCACCCUUCCGAGGAAAUCGAAGAGCUGGUUCCUCCCGUUGACGGCGAAGAGAGGCGCCUCACGGAUGCCGAAACUGCAAGAACCAUAGUUGAGGUGAAUAGCAAAGCAACUGUCAUUUUCACGGGAUUUAUUGAUGAAGAAGUCGAUGAAAAUAUUAUUUGGCCUUAUGUACCAUAUUUAACUGAUGAAUAUGGAGAUAUCUAUUUUGAGGUGAAUAAUGAGAAAGAAAUUCUGCAAACUCUGAUUUCGGACGAUAAAUUAGUGCAAGUUAUAAUUGGGUUGGACAAUAUAGAAAUGCUAUCAGAGAUGGAAGUGCUAGGGCCCAGUGAUCUUGAUAUUGAAGUAGAAGAAAUCUCAAGUGAUGUAGGUGAUGUUAAUGAUGGAUAUGAAGAGGAUGCAGUGGCCAUCAUCGAAGAUGAAUUAGAUGAACUUCUCUCUUCUGAUAAUGUAAGUGAUUGGACAAAUUUGGAAACAAUGCAGUCUUGUCAUCCAAUGUAUUUUGCUAAGAAAAUGGAAGAGUCUGUAUCGAAUGUUGAUUUGGACUGGAUGGAUCAACCUCCUGCUAGCAUUGUCAUCCAAGGUCAACUGAGACCUGCCUUCGCUGAAGAGAGCAUAAAUAUCAAGAAGCUUCCAUAUAGUGGAGAAUUAGAUAAGGAUCAAAGUCUACAUAACGGAGCUUCAUUCUACAAAUUGGAGAUGAUUAAUAUUCAGAUAGUUUCUUCGUAUGGGAAUCAGUUUGAAGUUAAGAUUCAAGAUUUUCGAGAAGCUCGACCAGAUGUUCUUGCACAUUCUGCUACCAAUAUCAUAUCUCAUCUUAAAUCUGGUGGGGAAAAGGUCUCACAAGCCCUUAAAAUGCUGUGUAUGAGGCAAAAGGGUAUUCAUGUAGAGUUCAGGAGGCUGUUGUCAUUGGUGUUGACAGUCUUGGUUUCGACUUGAGAGUUUGUUCAGGAAGGCAAGUCCAAACUCUAAGAUUUUCUUUUGCUACACAAGCAACAUCCGAGUUUAGUGCAGAAAGACAACUCAAUGAUCUUCUAUUCCCACUACUUAAGCAGAAACAGCAGCGAUGGCAACAAGCUCAUCAGGGAAUUGACAGUUGACGCAUUUGAUUACUGCUGCAUCUUCAGCUGAAUCACGCAUACAACAUGCAACGGGAUUUUGCAUGGGUAUCUGGUCAUGGGCCAUCGAUGCAUAUAGCUUGCAUUCGUAUGCCUCACCGUCAGAAUUGCAUGUUGACCGGAUUCUUUUAACAGCGAGUCAAACGAACGAUAGAUUGUUGAUGGUAUGAUAAAGGAUGCUCAUGCUCAACUUGUCCGAGGUUUGUCUUGUAUUAUCAUUUACAUUAGGGCAAUAUCAUGCUGAAAAAAAUUCGCUCGAGAGUAAACGAAGAGCGGGCUUGUGAAUUGUGCUUGGAGCAGGCUUUUCUACUUUUAGUAUGAUAUUACUGCGAUGUUGGGACAGUUUGUUGAUAGAAAGUCUCAUCCAUUUGUCUGCCUGUGUUUACGUGUGAUCGACAGAAAAGGUGUCUUUUGUAUUGGGUGCAAACGUACAUGAGGAUCAAAAACUCUAUCUUCUAAGUGCU